rnacentral:rRNA from 1 species
CCUACGGGGGGCAGCAGUGAGGAAUAUUGGUCAAUGGACGCAAGUCUGAACCAGCCAAGCCGCGUGAAGGAAGAAGGCUCUAUGGGUUGUAAACUUCUUUUGUACGGGGAUAAACGCAGCUACGUGUGUCUGUCUGAAAGUAUCGUACGAAUAAGGAUCGGCUAACUCCGUGCCAGCAGCCGCGGUAAUACGGAGGAUGCGAGCGUUAUCCGGAUUUAUUGGGUUUAAAGGGUGCGUAGGCGGUCGGUUAAGUCAGCGGUGAAAGCCCGAGGCUCAACCACGGAAUUGCCGCUGAUACUGGUCGGCUAGAGAGUAGUUGAGGUAGGCGGAAUGUGUGGUGUAGCGGUGAAAUGCUUAGAUAUCACACAGAACUCCGAUUGCGAAGGCAGCUUACCAAGCCACUUCUGACGUUGAGGCACGAAAGCGUGGGGAGCAAACAGGAUUAGAUACCCGGGUAGUC